rnacentral:rRNA from 1 species
AUGGAGCCGACCUUGAAAUACCACCCUUUAAUGUUUGAUGUUCUAACGUUGACCCGUGAUCCGGGUUGCGGACAGUGUCUGGUGGGUAGUUUGACUGGGGCGGUCUCCUCCUAAAGAGUAACGGAGGAGCACGAAGGUUGGCUAAUCCUGGUCGGACAUCAGGAGGUUAGUGCAAUGGCAUAAGCCAGCUUGACUGCGAGCGUGACGGCGCGAGCAGGUGCGAAAGCAGGUCAUAGUGAUCCGGUGGUUCUGAAUGGAAGGGCCAUCGCUCAACGGAUAAAAGGUACUCCGGGGAUAACAGGCUGAUACCGCCCAAGAGUUCAUAUCGACGGCGGUGUUUGGCACCUCGAUGUCGGCUCAUCACAUCCUGGGGCUGAAGUAGGUCCCAAGGGUAUGGCUGUUCGCCAUUUAAAGUGGUACGCGAGCUGGGUUUAGAACGUCGUGAGACAGUUCGGUCCCUAUCUGCCGUGGGCGCUGGAGAACUGAGGGGGGCUGCUCCUAGUACGAGAGGACCGGAGUGGACGCAUCACUGGUGUUCGGGUUGUCAUGCCAAUGGCACUGCCCGGUAGCUAAAUGCGGAAGAGAUAAGUGCUGAAAGCAUCUAAGCACGAAACUUGCCCCGAGAUGAGUUCUCCCUGACUCCUUGAGAGUCCUGAAGGAACGUUGAAGACGACGACGUUGAUAGGCCGGGUGUGUAAGCGCAGCGAUGCGUUGAGCUAACCGGUACUAAUGAACCGUGAGG